rnacentral:lncRNA from 1 species
AUUCUUCUGUAAGUUCAUUAGUCGCCGCUUGGGAGAAAAUGGGACCAGGUGGGCCAGGAGGGCCACCGGGGCCAGGUGGACCAGGAGGGCCAGGAGGGCCUCCGGGGCCAGGAGGGCCAGGAGGGCCAGGAUGGGGCGGUCCUCCACCCGGACCAGGAGGGCCACCAGGAUGGGGCGGUCCUCCACCCGGACCAGGAGGGCCACCGGGAUGGGGGGGUCCUCCUCCCGGACCAGGGGGACCACCGGGGUGGGGCGGCCCUCCGGUCGGACCAGG